GAUGAACGCUAGCGGCAGGCCUAACACACGCAAGUCGAGGGGUAACAGGAGAGCUUGCUCUCGCUGACGACCGGCGCACGGGUGCGUAACGCGUAUGCAACCUACCUCUUACAGGAGGAUAGCCCUAAGAAAUUGGGAUUAAUACUCCAUAAUAUGCAUUAACCGCAUGGUUUAUGUAUUAAAGUUCCGGCGGUAAGAGAUGGGCAUGCGUGACAUUAGCUAGUUGGUAAGGUAACGGCUUACCAAGGCGACGAUGUCUAGGGGUUCUAAAAGGAUGAUCCCCCACACUGGUACUGAGACACGGACCAGACUCCUACGGGAGGCAGCAGUGAGGAAUAUUGGGCAAUGGAGGCAACUCUGACCCAGCCAUGCCGCGUGCAGGAAGACGGUUCUAUGAAUUGUAAACUGCUUUUAUAUAGGAAUAAUGUGCUCUACGUGUAGGGUUUUGAAUGUACUAUAUGAAUAAGCACCGGCUAACUCCGUGCCAGCAGCCGCGGUAAUACGGAGGGUGCAAGCGUUAUCCGGAUUUAUUAGGUUUAAAGGGUCCGUAGGCGGGACUUUAAGUCAGUGGUGAAAUCCUGCAGCUUAACUGCAGAACUGCCAUUGAUACUGAAGUUCUUGAAUGUGAUUGAGGUAUGCGGAAUGAGAAGUGUAGCGGUGAAAUGCGUAGAUAUUUCUCAGAACACCGAUUGCGAAGGCAGCAUACUAAGUCAUGAUUGACGCUGAUGGACGAAAGCGUGUAGCGAACAGG
rnacentral:rRNA from 1 species